rnacentral:piRNA from 1 species
UGCUAGGAUGGGCUAGGUAUCACUGUAGGA